rfam:Fungal sp. No.14919 DNA, contig: Contig0033.
GCCCUGGUAGCUCAAUUGGUUAGAGCGUCGGACUUUUACGGUUACAACAUGUGACCGAGGCAUCCGAAGGCUGCGGGUUCGACCCCCGCCUGGGGCG